ACAGUAAUGUAUUCAGCUGACCAAUACUAAUAGGUCGAGGGCUUGAUCAAAUAUUUAUUAU
rnacentral:rRNA from 1 species